rnacentral:tRNA from 1 species
GCCGGGGUGGUGAAACUGGUAGACACGUUGGAUUCAAAAUCCAAUUCUUUCGGGAGUGUCGGUUCGAUUCCGACCCUCGGUACCA